rnacentral:ncRNA from 1 species
GUCGGGUCUGUGGUUGAAAGUCGAUGCCAGUCGCAGGCAAAGCGAUCCACGUAAGCGGAACAAAGCUUCCGUGAGCAUGGUGCGGUUUAGAAGUAAGUCCUGUCGGCGUCCGUUCGGACAGCCGAGAGAGGCAGUAGUGAGAGGACGAUUCCGGGUAGCGAACCCUCCAACAGGCGAGUGUGGGGUCAAAGACCAGGUCAGCCGAC